UACGGCGGUCACAGCGGAAGGGCCACACCCGUUCUCAUUCCGAACACGGAAGUUAAGCCUUCCAGCGAUUCGGGCUGUACU
rnacentral:rRNA from 1 species